UAUUAUAGAGUUACUCUAUUAUAGAAUAAAAAAGAACAAGACUUAGGUUCACCCCUAGGGUGAGCCUUUAAAUUAACUUCUCAUCUUAUUAUCAAUCAAAAUAUCACCUAGAUUAAUAAUAAAAUAUAUUUAUUUUAUUUUAAAAAAUCUGAAAUAAUUGAAAAAAAAUAAUAACGCUAAUUUUAAUGAUGCUAACACCACUAACUAAACCCUAAACUUUAAAUCUAUACCCUAAACCCAAAUCUAAACCCUAAACCCAAAUCGUAAACCCUAAACCCAAACCCUAUAUCCUAAACCCAAAUCCUAAACCCUAAACCCAAACCGUAAACCAUAAACUCAAACCCUAUAUCCUAAAUCCAAAUCAUAGACUCUAAACUCGAACCAUAUAU
rnacentral:lncRNA from 1 species